AGCGAAGAUGAACACUAGGGUGCGUUUCACUGUAAUGUUAACCAUCGUUAUCUGUGGACCUGGCGUUUAUCAUUAUACCAAGGUUAGUACGUGCAAUUAAUGCUCCCCCUUGUUACAAAUUGAUUCCUAUAAACGAUGAAACAUGCCCUUGGUGUUCAAUAACUACUAACGUAUUACAAAAUAUCGACAACUUUAUCAGAACUUAUUUUCAAUUUGGAUACCUAUGCAUAUAGCCUGUAAACUCGCGGUUUGCCUAAUGCACUUUGUGGCUAUUCACAGUGCAAGAUGACCCUUCAAACGGAGAUGUGUGCUCAACACGUGGACCACAAAUAUCGCGGGAUAUUCGACAGACACCUGAAGAACAAUUUGCGGAACAUGAGGCAAUGGUGGGACAACAAAAGCCUUGCCGCAGUAUGGAAUUGUAAUCCAUCAUGAUCAGGCAGUAACCCGGGGCUGCCGAGUGACGGAUGUAUUUUCUGACAUCAUGAAGGACCAGUUGGAUCAGCUCUAGUCGUCAUCGCUGUUCGUACAGUCUUCCCAAGGUCUCCGAUAGUAUCUCUACCAAGACCACAACAAGCAAAGAUGAGCCCUAGAGCAAUUUUCACUGUGAUGUUAGCCAUCGUCGUCAAUGGGACUGCCAUUUAUUAUUAUUCCCAG